rfam:Pelecanus crispus contig26025, whole genome shotgun sequence.
GCCGGGUUAGCUCAGUUGGUUAGAGCAUGGUGCUAAUAACACCAAUUUCACAGGUUCAAUCCCUGCUUACUGCA